rnacentral:rRNA from 1 species
GCGCAGCAGUCGAGAAUUUUUCUCAAUGGGGGCAACCCUGAAGGAGCGACGCCGCGUGGAGGAUGAAGGCUUUCGGGUUGUAAACUCCUGUCAUUUGAGAACAAGUGUAGCCAAGUAACUACUGGCUACUUGAUAGUAUCAGAAGAGGAAGGGACGGCUAACUCUGUGCCAGCAGCCGCGGUAAUAUAGAGGUCCCAAGCGUUGUUCGGAUUCAUUGGGCGUAAAGGGUGCGUAGGUGGCGCCGUAAGUGGGGUGUGAAAUUUCGGAGCUUAACUCCGAAACUGCAUUCCAUACUGCGGUGCUUGAGGACUGGAGAGGAGACUGGAAUUCAUGGUGUAGCAGUGAAAUGCGUAGAGAUCAUGAGGAAGACCAGUGGCGAAGGCGGGUCUCUAGACAGUUCCUGACACUGAGGCACGAAGGCUAGGGGAGCGAACGGGAUUAGAUACCCGCGUAGU